rnacentral:misc_RNA from 1 species
GGAAGGAUCAUUACCGAAAAUCCACAUACCCACCGUGUCCACAGUGCCUGUCUUUUGGCGGGUGGUUUGUCGCUUCUGUGGCGAGCCGCCUUGCCCCUUUCAUUCUCACGCGUUCCACCUCUCGGCCUCUCUUCUGAGGGGCCUUUUGGCUGGCCUUUCAACAGGCCGGUCCGGCGCGUCGCCUCACGGCAGCGCGCCACCAUUCAAACAAGACAACUCCCAACAACGAAUGUCUUGGCUCUCGCAACGAUGAAGAACGCAGCGAAAUGCGAUACGUACGUGCGAAUUGCAGGAUUCAGUGAAUCAUCAAAUCUUUGAACGCAUCUUGCGCUUUCAGGCUUCCUGGAAGCAUCUCUGGUUGAGUGCCAUUCCCCCCAGAUCGUCCAGCACUCUGCUGUGCGGAGCGUGGGUGUCGGCCUGCCCUCGUGGCAGGGCGUCGCCUGAAGCAUCGCAGUCGGGUGUGGGAGCUUCAGAGCCCCAUGCGCUCGCCGUGGUAAGGAUUCGCGUCCUCAUCGGUGUGUGCGCGUGGGUGUCUCUGCCUACACUCGCUGAGUCUAACUGUCUCUCCUGCUGAAGGGUGACAAUUUCUUGGACCGGCCUCAACUCAGGGAAGGCGACCCGCUGAACUUAAGCAUAUCAAUAAGUGCGCUCGCCGUGGUAAGGAUUCGCGUCCUCAUCGGUGUGUGCGCGUGGGUGUCUCUGCCUACACUCGCUGAGUCUACUGUCUCCUCUUUCACGGGAGGAGACACCUCUUGGACCGGCCUCAACUCAGGGAAGGCAACCCGCUGAACUUAAGCAUAUCAAUAAGCGGAGGAGAAGAAAGUAACAACGAUUCCCCCAGUAACGGCGAGUGAAGAGGGAAGAGCUCAAGCCCUUAAUCUGAACUUUUUAACAGAGUUCCGAAUUGUAGUCUGAAGGCGUUCACUUUAGGCGCGCCGAGGCCCAAGUCCCCUGGAAAGGGGCGCCAGAGAGGGUGAGAGUCCCGUAUUUGGCCAUCGGUUGCGUUGACCUGUGUUUGUCCGGAGAGUCGGGUUGCUCUGGAUUGCAGCCUGAAUGGGAGGUAAAUUUCUCCUAAAGCUAAAUACUGGCGAGAGACCGAUAGCGAACAAGUACCGUGAGGGAAAGAUGCAAAGAACUUUGAAAAGAGAGUUAAAAAGUACCUGAACUUGUUGGGGGGAAAGCGUUUGCUUGCAGUGUGCGCGCGCCGAUUCAGCCCUCACGGGUGUACUUUGGCGUGCGCGGUCAGGGUGGGUUUGGCGCGGCGCUCAUGUCCCCUGCGAGGCCUUCGGGCAACCGGGUGGUCGCGCGUCGCUCCGGACCGAGGCUCGCUCUGUUGCGGGGUCGGUUGAUCGCGUUGCCGUCUCACAAGCAACUUGUGCUCGGCGCGCGUGAUUCCCUACCCGCUCUUCAGCGUGACCCUGACGAAAUGGGCGCAACCGACCCGUCUAGAAACACGGACCAAGGAGUCUGACGACUACGCGAGUCUUCGGGUGGCAACCCCGUGGGCGCAAUGAAAGUGAGGGAUGCUCAGCAUCGACCGACCGUGAUCUCCUGUGAAUGGUUUGAGUAUGAGCGUGGUCGCCGGGACCCGAAAGAUGGUGAACUAUGCCUGAGUAGGGUGAAGCCUGAAGAAAUUCAGGUGGAGGCUCGUAGCGAUACUGACGUGCAAAUCGUUCGUCGAACUUGGGUAUAGGGGCGAAAGACUAAUCGAACCAUCUAGUAGCUGGUUCCCUC